ensembl:lncRNA
GGGAAGCCUCGUCAGAUGGGGACAGGGCUAGGCAUGCUUGAGCUUAGAUUGUUCUUGAGCAGGUCUUGCUGCAGCGGCUGUGGGGGAUGGGGUGAGCUUUCCAGGUCAACAGACUUGUGUACCUAGGAAGAUCACAACUGCCUCUGCUGAUUCAGGUUCAUUGUCGGGGAACUGGGGAAAAGCCAGGAGUCACAGGCAUCGCUAGCUCCCAAGAAAACUGAAGAGCUGGUCUCACUCCCACCACGCCCCUCCUAACAGCACCGAGUGUUUCUUGGCAAUGGGUGAGCAGGGCUUGAGAACUUGUCCCAGGCUACCUGCUUCCCAGCUGUGAGAGAAAGUGCUUUGUUUUUUCCCCUGACUGUGGAGUCUACACAGGAGAUUUGUACCUCCCCUGAGUUUCUGGCCAGGAGGCUUGUUGCCCAGCUCAAACUGUUACAAAGUUCAAAGAAGAAAGUUGGAGACUUUCUUCUCCCUUUGGCAUUUUCCCUCACACCUCUAGCUGCCCUUUUGAAGGAUAUCUGUGGUGCUAGGCAGAAAUGGCGUGCUUGGAGACCCCCGCAAGCUCCCAGGCCUUUCCUGCUGCUCCUCUACCCCUGUAUUUUGCUCAGCUCUCUAAAUUGCUCAGCUCAAGUAUUGCUGGGGUCCACAUCCCGAGGUCUGGUCCACUUCUGACUUCAGCUGCAGCCUGCUGGACAGUUCACAGCACUCAGAUGCCCCUCAUGCUGCAGAGGCCAAUGGGUGUGGCUGGAUCCCUGUCUCUCCUACAAGCCAAGAGCUUGCUCAUUGGAGAACCAGCUCACAGAGAAGUACAGGAGAGAUCACCUGGGGUGCCCCAAAGCUGUGGGGUGGAGCCAGGGUGGUACCCAAGUCUCCCUCCUACUGGGAGUUUUCCACCCACUUCUCAGGUUCCAGCUGCACUGAGCCGUGCAGGAACCCCAGAGAGGCAUCCCUAGAUUGGCCUUUCCUCCAUUCCAGCCUCCCUCCCCGUCUCCUGCUUCCUGGAACCAACUUCUAAAUAAACAUGUAAAUCCAAGUCCUUGUCUCAAUCCCGCUUUUGGGGAAAUCAAAACUAAGUCAACACUUCUCAGGUUGUAAUUUUGUGUAUGGGGGCUGAUUUGUGAAAUAUUAGUUUCCCCUGAGUCCGUGAGCCCAUGGACUCCAUGGACUCCACCCGACAUGAGCCACCCUCCAAUUGGCUCUGUGUGUCCAAUUUGCCUGUCACCAUAUCCUGAAUGCAGUUUCUGAUGCAUAGUAACUGUUCAACAGACACAUGUGAAAUAAAUGAAUAAAUGGCUGCCGUAUCAUGGGGUGGUAAUGAUGCCAAUUAUCCUGCUUUGAGAAGGCAGCUGCAGGUUUGUCAGGCAUAAGACACUUGUUCUUUGUGUCAGUGUGACCUGGCUCCUCUGGCUGUUGUGGAAUGAACCUGAUCCUAAUUCAGCUAUAUGUGGUCUGACAAAAGGGAAAGCAGUGUCCUAGAGCUCUGGCCAACAAACCCAUCCUAUCCUAGAGGACAUCAGGUCCCAGAGGGAGUGUCAGUGUCAGUGGAUGGGAGGCAGAGACAGAGAUGGGGCUGAGCGGGGAGCUGAUGGGGUUACUGGACCCUGCACUUCCCACCUUACCUUGGAUAGAACAAAACACACACACACCUGGGCUGCUCUCAUCCCCAUUCUAGCCUGGAACCCCCAAGAGGAAUCUCAAAUAAGUUCUCCUCAGCCUCAGGCUGUGUGAGCCAGGCUGAAAGCAGCACGACCUGUAGGUGCACUGGCUGGAGGUGCUCCCUCCUGAAGGUGUACUGGUUUUGGAUGGUCCCACCUGAAGGUGACAACUGGUGAUGCUACCACCUCUAGGUGCACUGGCUAUAGGUGCUCUCUCCUGAAGUUGUGCUGGCUUUAGGUGUUCCCACCUGAAGGUGACAACUGGUGAUGCUACCACCUCUAGGUGCACUGGCUAUAGGUGCUCUCUCCUGAAGUUGUGCUGGCUUUAGGUGUUCCCACCUGAAGGUGACAACUGGUGAUGCUACCACCUCUAGGUGCACUGGCUAUAGGUGCUCUCUCCUGAAGUUGUGCUGGCUUUAGGUGUUCCCACCUGAAGGUGACAACUGGUGAUGCUACCACCUCUAGGUGCACUGGCUAUAGGUGCUCUCUCCUGAAGUUGUGCUGGCUUUAGGUGUUCCCACCUGAAGGUGACAACUGGUGAUGCUACCACCUCUAGGUGCACUGGCUAUAGGUGCUCUCUCCUGAAGUUGUGCUGGCUUUAGGUGUUCCCACCUGAAGGUGACAACUGGUGAUGCUACCACCUCUAGGUGCACUGGCUAUAGGUGCUCUCUCCUGAAGUUGUGCUGGCUUUAGGUGUUCCCACCUGAAGGUGAUGACUGGUGAUGCUACCACCUCUAGGUGCACUGGCUAUAGGUGCUCUCUCCUGAAGUUGUGCUGGCUUUAGGUGUUCCCACCUGAAGGUGAUGACUGGUGAUGCUACCACCUCUAGGUGCACUGGCUAUAGGUGCUCUCUCCUGAAGUUGUGCUGGCUUUAGGUGUUCCCACCUGAAGGUGACGACUGGUGAUGCGACCACCUCUAGGUGCACUGGCUAUAGGUGCUCUCUCCUGAAGUUGUGCUGGCUUUAGGUGGUCCCACCUGAAGGUGAUGACUGGAGGUGCUUCCACCUCUAGGUGCACUGGCGGGAGGUGCUCCCUUCUGUAGGUACAUGGGUUUAGAUGUUCUCACCAGAAAGUGCAUGGGCUCGAGGUGCUCCCACCUGAAAGAUGAAUGGGAGGGGCAUUUGUUUUUACUUUCAGACAGAGGUUACAAAAGUUUUUUGUAAAAGACCAGAUAGUAUAUACCUCAGGCUUUGUGGGCCAGGUCAAAAAGUCUCUGUUGCAACCUCUUGACUCAACCAUCGAAUCACUAAAGCAGUCAAAGGCAAUAUAUCAAUAAAUGGACAUGGCUGUAUCCCAAUAAAACUUUAUUUACAAAUGAGCAGAUUUGAUUCACUGGCCCUAACUUGCCGUCGCCUUCUCUAAAGUCACCUCAGGGAUCCUAUCCUGUCCCCCAAUUGGUGGGCAGGUGUUUACUCUGCCCUGCACCCUGGCAUCUUACCUGCAGCCAUUGGCCUCUUGGCUGAGCUCUCAGGUUUCUGACAACUCACUCGAACUUACUCUACGUUCACUUCUCAUUCUCUGUCUCCUUUUCCUUCCCUACCACAGCAUGAGAGUUGUGAGGGCCCAGAUCCUGUCCCAUGAGCUGUGGAGUCUGGCCUUGGCUCCUCCAGUGUUGGCUGUGUGCCUUUGGCUAACAGACUCAGCCUUUCUAAGCUGAGUUCAUCUGCCAUCAGGGAGCACUGGGAAGAGACACCGAAGACAGCCAGAGGUGCACAGCUAAUGAAUAGCAUAGCCAAGGGGCCCACUGAAGGGCUGGAAGGACUGAAGUAACAUAAGGAGGAAGGGUGUUUCUGCAAAGCUCAGGCAGCAUGAACUAAUGAACCUCCCUCUAUGUAAUAUUAAAAACAAGUGAACAAAUAAGCCCCAUCCUUGACAUUGGUACUUAAUUUCCUGCCCACCUCUCAAAGUAUCUGUGAGGUUCCAAAAAAGGAUGACAGGUAUAGGAGGGGCCUGGAGGGGCAGAGGAUGGG